AGCGGACCGGGAGCGAUGCAGCCUGAGGGAAGCAUCCUUAGCUGUUGGCGCAGAGGGGCGAGGCUGAAGCCGAGUGGCCCGAGGUGUCUGAGGGGCUGGGGCAACGGUGAGAGAGUUUCAGAACAAGCUUCCUGGAACCCAUGACCCAUGAAGUCUUGUCAACAUUUAUGCUGUCUGAGGGUAGCAGCUCGAAAGUAGAAGAAGUAGAGUGUUGCCGGGGACGGCAGUAUCUCUUUGUGUGACCCUGGCGACUUAUGGGACGUUGGCUUCAGACCUUUGUGAUACACCGUGCUGCGUGGGACGAUGACGGCGUGGAGAGGAACAAGGCCUGAGGUCACACUGGCUUGCCUCCUCUUAGCCACAGCAGGCUGCUUUGCUGACUUGAAUGAGGUCCCUCAGGUCACCGUCCAGCCUGCGUCCACCGUCCAGAAGCCCGGAGGCACUGUGAUCCUGGGCUGCGUGGUGGAACCCCCAAGGAUGAAUGUAACCUGGCGCCUGAAUGGAAAGGAGCUGAAUGGCUCGGAUGAUGCUCUGGGUGUCCUCAUCACCCACGGGACCCUCGUCAUCACUGCCCUUAACAACCACACUGUGGGACGGUACCAGUGUGUGGCCCGGAUGCCUGCGGGGGCUGUGGCCAGCGUGCCAGCCACUGUGACACUAGCCAAUCUCCAGGACUUCAAGUUAGAUGUGCAGCACGUGAUUGAAGUGGAUGAGGGAAACACAGCAGUCAUUGCCUGCCACCUGCCUGAGAGCCACCCCAAAGCCCAGGUCCGGUACAGCGUCAAACAAGAGUGGCUGGAGGCCUCCAGAGGUAACUACCUGAUCAUGCCCUCAGGGAACCUCCAGAUUGUGAAUGCCAGCCAGGAGGACGAGGGCACGUACAAGUGUGCAGCCUACAACCCAGUGACCCAGGAAGUGAAAACCUCCGGCUCCAGCGACAGGCUACGUGUGCGCCGUAAGGCCCGGGCCCACCUGCUGGGGGACGGGGGAUCAUUGACGGAAGGGCCCACAAAGAUGGAAAGGGAGGUAGAUACCUGGAGGUGCCACAUCCAAACUCCAGUUCUGUGUGCACUGGCUUUGGCCAGGGGGACAGCCAGGGGUUCCCAGCCAGGGGUUGUCUCCCCUCUGGCCAUUCUCAGGGCCAGCGUCUCACAGCACGCAGCCCCAGGCGACUGUGCCUGCUGCCACACCUGCCUGAUGGGAGGUUUCCUUCACGCUUACUUUGCGAUUGGGAUGGGUCAGAAUGUGUGUGCUGGGACAGGACGGUGGGUCUUGUCUCAAGCUCAGCAGAGGACACAGCAUGUGCCUAGAACAGAUGGCCACGUGGGAGGCCUCCAGGCUGCUGUUCUGCCCUACGUGAGGUCCCUGGGCCUGCACUCUCUGCACUGAUGAGGUGUGCCCAGCACCACCCUCUGGUGAGCUUCCAGGAGGCCCACAUGCUCUCAAUGCACAGGAAAACAGCAGCUACCUUUCCGUGUGCUUGCCUGGAGUCCCUGCCUAUUCAAAGGAGUGACAUCUUACACGGAGUUAGGCUUAGAGUUGGCACCAGAGAUGGAAUCACUGUGAAGCUAAUGAAGUUAAACUUCCAUGGUCCUUCACUCACUGACAGAGGCCUUACA
rnacentral:sRNA from 1 species